rnacentral:rRNA from 1 species
GAUGAACGCUGGCGGCGUGCCUAAUACAUGCAAGUCGAGCGAACGGAUGAGAAGCUUGCUUCUCUGAUGUUAGCGGCGGACGGGUGAGUAACACGUGGAUAACCUACCUAUAAGACUGGGAUAACUUCGGGAAACCGGAGCUAAUACCGGAUAAUAUUUUGAACCGCAUGGUUCAAAAGUGAAAGACGGUCUUGCUGUCACUUAUAGAUGGAUCCGCGCUGCAUUAGCUAGUUGGUAAGGUAACGGCUUACCAAGGCAACGAUGCAUAGCCGACCUGAGAGGGUGAUCGGCCACACUGGAACUGAGACACGGUCCAGACUCCUACGGGAGGCAGCAGUAGGGAAUCUUCCGCAAUGGGCGAAUGCCUGACGGAGCAACGCCGCGUGAGUGAUGAAGGUCUUCGGAUCGUAAAACUCUGUUAUUAGGGAAGAACAUAUGUGCAAGUAACUGUGCACAUCUUGACGGUACCUAAUCAGAAAGCCACGGCUAACUACGUG